rnacentral:rRNA from 1 species
AUUGAACGCUGGCGGAAUGCUUUACACAUGCAAGUCGAACGGCAGCACGGGGGCAACCCUGGUAGCGAGUGGCGAACGGGUGAGUAAUACAUCGGAACGUGCCCAGUCGUGGGGGAUAACGUAGCGAAAGUUACGCUAAUACCGCAUACGAUCUACGGAUGAAAGCGGGGGACCGUAAGGCCUCGCGCGAUUGGAGCGGCCGAUGUCAGAUUAGGUAGUUGGUGAGGUAAAGGCUCACCAAGCCGACGAUCUGUAGCUGGUCUGAGAGGACGACCAGCCACACUGGGACUGAGACACGGCCCAGACUCCUACGGGAGGCAGCAGUGGGGAAUUUUGGACAAUGGGCGCAAGCCUGAUCCAGCCAUUCCGCGUGCAGGACGAAGGCCUUCGGGUUGUAAACUGCUUUUGUACAGAACGAAAAGGUUUCUACUGAUACUAGGAGCUCAUGACGGUACUGAAAGAAUAAGCACCGGCUAACUACGUGCCAGCCGCCGCCGUAA